UUGGAUUUGGGAUGUGUAUGCACCAGUGAACAGCUGAUAUUUGUGCACACCAAUAUGUUGACCUUAUGCUUCUGGGAGAGGAAGGGCCUCUGCCUCAUUUAAAAUAUCAGAUGGACUAAAUACGGCAGUUCUUCAGCACCCUGCCAUUAA
rnacentral:lncRNA from 12 species